GGUGUAUCUGCUAAACCGCCGACGAAUCCCACUGCCCCUUUUUCUCCUUCCGCCUCGAGCCGCCCGUCUCCUCCUCGCUUUGCCCCCCACGAAGCAAUUCUAAAUCCUCGCGCGGAAGAUCGGAUCCUCCCCGCGUGAUCCGCAUCGGUGCUUGCCCUUCCUGCGCGGAUUUCCGGCAGCCUUUUCCGCCCGAACCCCUGAUUUCCCCUGCCGAUUCCCUGCUCCUGCCGCGGCGGUUGUUCCUGCAGCCUGUUGGGGGGAUCUUUGGCGGAGGGGAGGGAGUUGGUGGGGGUGGUUAGGCGGCGCCCGCGAUCCGGCCCGGGGAGAUGGCCGGCGGGAAGGAGCCGAUCGAGGUGAAGUUCCGGCUCUUCGACGGCACCGACAUCGGGCCCAGCAAGUACGACCCCAGCACCACCGUCGCCGCGCUCAAGGAGUUCGUCCUCGCCCGGUGGCCGCAGGAACCAAAAGCCAGCAACAACUUUUCUGAAAAGCUCAAAAGCUGCAGCUCAAACAAACAGGCCCUUAAGAGCAUGCUGAGGAUCUCUGCAAACAUGUGAUGGCAGGACCAUUUCCAGAGAUUGUGUGGCUCAUUUAGGCUGCCUGCCUUCUUAUCUGGGCGUGCCUAUAGAUGAUCUUCAAUUGUUUGGUGGUUCUCUCUGAAUUCUGAGCAACCAAGGGUCUGAUUCAUUGAAGCUGGUCAUCAGAAUGAUUUUUGUUAUGCAAACAGAUAUGUCUGGAUUAAGCCUGUAUCUGGAGAUGUGAAGUGCGACUGAGCAUCUGCAUGGGACGGGACCACAUUCAACAUGUGGUCACAUGAAAGUACUAGCAGUACAAAAGAUGUAUUUACAUGUAGUGCCAGCAUUUUCUGCUAUUUCUCUUUGGCAAUUCCACAAGUAAAGACUACAUUGAUUUUGUGCAACUGUUUAUGUCUGCUGACACAUUCUAAACUGGUGCAACUGGGAAAGAAAUUCAGAGGUGACUCAUGCCGGAUUAAAGGUUCACAGUAGUAAGGAAAGAACCAUGUAUCUUUUGAAUCAGGCAUCAUGGCAUGCUUCAUGGACAAUGCAAAGUUAAACUAACAAGUGACCAUUCUUCAGUGUUUUUUUCCUUCUGAUGACUGAUAACUGCCUGGAAAUGGGAAUUACCCUUCUUUUGGUCAUCUUGUAUUGUCUGUCAUUAGUAUUUUUCAAAUAUUGUUGCGUCAGAUAGCUUAGGCAUAUUUCAGUCCUCCAGAACCUUUGUGAAGUAUGUCUUGUGUCUGUUGAUAGUGCUACUUUCAUGUUUGUUAACAGAUAAAGAAAUAGUUCCAAAAACUGUCAAUGAUGUGAAGCUCAUCAAUGCUGGAAGGAUACUGGAGAAUAGCAAAACUCUCGCCGAGUCACGAGUCCCAGUUGGAGAAGUUCCUGGAAGUGUGAUUACAAUGCAUGUUGUUGUGCGGCCGCCCCAAUCAAACAAAAGUGAGAAGCAACAGUCAAACUCUCCGAAGCAGAACAGAUGCGGAUGUACGAUAUUGUGAUGUUGAUGCAGUAGAAAUGUGUAUCGGUGUUGUGUCCACAGGGAUCACAAGUUCAUUUUGACAAUUGAUUCUUGCGUCUAUUCAUCACAGCCCAAGCCUAGAUAUGUCAUUACCACUAGCCACAUCUGCUUGAGAAUUUGAUGCUUGCUAUCGUGUAAAAGGAGUGUGGUGGAAGGAGAUUUCUCAGGAGGUCCUGGUAAAAACCCUAAAAGGAGUGUGCAGGAGUCAAGGAAAUUGGAUGUUUGCUUUUAUGGGAUGUGUAGACGUAGUGAUACCAAAAGUGAGUUGCUGCAUAGUACCUGUCAAGUCUUUCUUUUUCGUUUGCGUCAAGCUCGGUCACGUAUGUGUUUUGUAAUAGAAAAAGUGACUGGUAAUUCUUGUCGAGAAGUGGAAAGGAAUGUUGGGUUUUGCCGGUUUGGCAUGGUACUGAUGAAGGUGAAAAAUGAUUGGUACUACCUCUGUUUAAAAUUAUAGGUCGUUUGACUUUUUGACAUAAA